AUCGCUUCUCUCGCCUUUUGGCUAAGAUCAAGUGUAGUAUCUGUUCUUAUCAGUUUAAUACCUGAUACGUCCUCCAUUCGAGGACUUUAUAUUAAACGGAUUUUUAGAGCGAGGAGCUGGAAGAGGGGCUUGCUCCGUCCGCUCCACGCAUCGACCUGGUAUUGCAGUACCUCCAGGAACGGUGCACCUUUU
ensembl:snRNA U2 U2 spliceosomal RNA